rnacentral:pre_miRNA from 1 species
CAAAUACUCCCUCUGUCCAGAAAUACUUGUCAUCAAAAUGGAUAAAAGGAAAUGUAUCUAGACAUAUUUUAGUUUUAGAUACAUCUCUUUUUAUCCAUUUUGAUGACAAGUAUUUUCGGACGGAGGGAGUAGAAA